UGGACUUCCAAACUAACGAGAAUGGAUUCAUUGAAAGGAAAGACUAUGCUUCUUGCGGUGCUUUUGGUUUGUGCACUUCUUUCAGAAGGUGCACCACUAAAACAUAUCGACUAUAAAAACUUUCCCCGAUUUUCAUGUGUUGGAAAAGGUGAUCAUGAAGGGAAGUGCAAAGCAUUGAAUCCACUCCCAAUUGAGAAGAAGAGGGGUUGUAGUCCGAUUACAGGUUGUCGAUCGGGAUGACUGAAGGUUAUUAGGGCAUUGUUUGUACUAGAGGUUCCCUUAAUAAGCAUGAAAACUUAUCCAAUGAUUUCUUCUCGUGGAGGUCCAACAUUCUUUAUAGAAGAAAAAUUUCGAUGGAAAUUUGAAUUUGUAAUAGAAAAAUAUUAAUUUUUACAUUGUGAUUCGUGCUUCAAGAUAAACGUAAUUUUAAGAAGCACUAAUGAAAUUGUAUUACAUAUAUUCAUUUGAGAUGUUUUGUAUAUCCAAAUCCAUUAUGGCUUCCAAUAUAUCUCAAAACAACUAUUUUGCAAUUCAAUCAUGC
rnacentral:lncRNA from 1 species